UCCGUAGGGUGCGAGCGUUAAUCGGAAUUACUGGGCGUAAAGCGUGCGCAGGCGGUUCGUUAAGUCAGAUGUGAAAUCCCCGGGCUUAACCUGGGAACUGCAUUUGUGACUGGCGAGCUAGAGCAUGGCAGAGGGGGGUAGAAUUCCACGUGUAGCAGUGAAAUGCGUAGAGAUGUGGAGGAAUACCGAUGGCGAAGGCAGCCCCCUGGGCCAAUACUGACGCUCAUGCACGAAAGCGUGGGGAGCAAACAGG
rnacentral:rRNA from 1 species